rnacentral:snoRNA from 1 species
UGGGAUUGUCCUUGAGAAUUCAAUUUCUCAUUUGCUGUGGACAUGACCAUAGAAAAUAUCCCCUGGGUUUUUUAUCUGCUGCCUUGCUGGCAAGUAGCCUACUGGGAACAUUC